rnacentral:snoRNA from 14 species
AAGGGAUAUUUUAAAGCAUUUAAAAAGUGAGGCUGAUUGAGCUUGCUAUAGCAAAAAUGUCUAGCCUAUCGCAUGUUCUCUUCCUCAUGAGACAAGUCGUUACAUAGGCUCAAAAAAA